rnacentral:rRNA from 1 species
UACAGAGGUCUCAAGCGUUGUUCGGAUUCAUUGGGCGUAAAGGGUGCGUAGGCGGCGCGGUAAGUCGGGUGUGAAAUCUCGGAGCUUAACUCCGAGCCUGCAGUGGAUACGGGCAGACUAGAGGUAGGUAGGGGAGAAUGGAAUUCCCGGUGUAGCGGUGAAAUGCGCAGAUAUCGGGAGGAACACCGGUGGCGAAGGCGGUUCUCUGGGCCUUACCUGACGCUGAGGAGCGAAAGCGUGGGGAGCGAACAGG